rnacentral:rRNA from 1 species
UGCAAGUCGAACGGCAGCACGGGGCAACCUGGUGGCGAGUGGCGAACGGGUGAGUAAUAUAUCGGAACGUACCCUUGGGUGGGGGAUAACGUAGCGAAAGUUACGCUAAUACCGCAUACGAUCUACGGAUGAAAGUGGGGGAUUCGCAAGAACCUCACGCUCAUGGAGCGGCCGAUAUCUGAUUAGCUAGUUGGUAGGGUAAAAGCCUACCAAGGCAUCGAUCAGUAGCUGGUCUGAGAGGACGACCAGCCACACUGGAACUGAGACACGGUCCAGACUCCUACGGGAGGCAGCAGUGGGGAAUUUUGGACAAUGGGCGCAAGCCUGAUCCAGCAAUGCCGCGUGAGUGAAGAAGGCCUUCGGGUUGUAAAGCUCUUUUGUCAGGGAAGAAACGGAUUGGGUUAAUACCUUGGUCUAAUGACGGUACCUGAAGAAUAAGCACCGGCUAACUACGUGCCAGCAGCCGCGGUAAUACGUAGGGUGCAAGCGUUAAUCGGAAUUACUGGGCGUAAAGCGUGCGCAGGCGGUUAUGUAAGACAGAUGUGAAAUGCCCGGGCUUAACCUGGGAACUGCAUUUGUGACUGCAUGGCUAGAGUUUGGCAGAGGGGGGUAGAAUUCCACGUGUAGCAGUGAAAUGCGUAGAUAUGUGGAGGAACACCGAUGGCGAAGGCAGCCCACUGGGUCAAGAC